UGGCAAAGAGGCAGAGGAUAGCAUUUUUCCCAAAUUUUGUUCACUCACUUGGUGGUACUCAUAUGAUGAUGACUGCGGUGGCUUGCAAAAAAGAAGGUUUGAAUUUUGCAGGGGUUCAUGACUCAUAUUGGAUGCAUGCGUGUGAUGUGGAUAGAAUGAACAGAAUACUCAGAGAGAAGUUUGUUGAACUCUGAGACCCCAAUACUGGAAAAUGUAUGGUUUAGAUGUUAACGUCAUUUACAUGAUAUGCUAUUAUUUUUAAUCUCUGGUAUUCUUGGGAAUAUUUGAGGAGAAAUUGAUUUUAUUAUCUUUAGUUUCGUUGGUAUUUUCAUACUUGCUUGUGUAAUUAAAUAGUGGAUACUUCUUUUGGUAUUGUGCUUUGUUUUCUGCAACUUGAAAUCUGGUUUGAAUUUCUCAAAAAAAAAAUGACGAGAAAAACCAUUCUAUGUUUUUAGUAGAUGGGGAAACUUAUGUGACUAGAUGCAAAGGUUGAUAUUAAUGGUUAAUUUAUUUUAUUUUAUAUUUGUAUAAAUAGCCUCUUUGUAAUUUCUAGGUUACUGCUAGAUCUGUUAACCUGUUCUUAUUUGUGAGCAGUUACUGGAGAGCUUCCAGGGGUCUUUCUCAACAUUAAUGUUCCCCCUAUUACCGAAACGGGGAGACUUCAACCUAAGGGAAGUUUUAGAGUCACCAUAUUUCUUCAACUGAUCUUUCUGCAGUCCUCUGUAGGGCAUGGACUCUUUCUUUAGGGUUUAUUGACUGCAUUCUGAGUUAUUUCGGCAUGUGCAUAAUAGCGACAACAGUUCUUCCGAAUGCGCUCGCGAUACAGGCCGUUCCUCAGUGGCAUUAUAUAUCUUUGAAGGCAUCCAGAGUCUUGAGGAGGACUCUUGUCUGGUAUGAUAAUAUAAAUUCACUCGUCCCACUGGAAUUUUUGAGGGUAUAUACCUUGACACCAGAUAGAAGCUUUCGUAGCUUUUGCAACCAUGAUGCUUUCAAGAAAAAAAUAGCCAAGGUAUCAAGCUUGGCAUUGCUAGUUAGUGAGUGUAGUAGUUAUUGAUUUCAAGAAUUUAGGAAGAGAUCUGCGAAUAAGUUCAGCUCACACGUCUCCAUGAAAACUAUCCCAGGGAUAGUUGCAAGACCAUCUUUGAUAUCAAGAGAAUAGCGAAUGUGUACCUUAGAUAAGGUUUUACAUGUGUAUUUUGUACAAGCUUUCUUUUGUAAAUAACUAAAUAUAAAAGAAACAUUCUUUUUUAUUAUUUUAUAACAUGUUUAAGAUAAUUUAUUGUAGACAUUAUAUGCACCAAAAAUA